rnacentral:rRNA from 1 species
UAGGUUAACGAGGCGAACCGGGGGAACUGAAACAUCUAAGUACCCCGAGGAAAAGAAAUCAACCGAGAUUCCCCCAGUAGCGGCGAGCGAACGGGGAGCAGCCCAGAGUCUGAAUCAGCUUGUGUGUUAGUGGAACGGUCUGGAAAGUCCGACGGUACAGGGUGAUAGUCCCGUACACCAAAAUGCACAGGCUGUGAACUCGAAGAGUAGGGCGGGACACGUGGUAUCCUGUCUGAAUAUGGGGGGACCAUCCUCCAAGGCUAAAUACUCCUGACUGACCGAUAGUGAACCAGUACCGUGAGGGAAAGGCGAAAAGAACCCCGGCGAGGGGAGUGAAAAAGAACCUGAAACCGUGUACGUACAAGCAGUGGGAGCACCUUCGGGUGUGACUGCGUACCUUUUGUAUAAUGGGUCAGCGACUUAUAUUCUGUAGCAAGGUUAACCGUAUAGGGGAGCCGCAGGGAAACCGAGUCUUAACUGGGCGUUAAGUUGCAGGGUAUAGACCCGAAACCCGGUGAUCUAGCCAUGGGCAGGUUGAAGGUUGGGUAACACUAACUGGAGGACCGAACCGACUAAUGUUGAAAAAUUAGCGGAUGACUUGUGGCUGGGGGUGAAAGGCCAAUCAAACCGGGAGAUAGCUGGUUCUCCCCGAAAGCUAUUUAGGUAGCGCCUCGUGAACUCAUCUUCGGGGGUAGAGCACUGUUUCGGCUAGGGGGUCAUCCCGACUUACCAACCCGAUGCAAACUACGAAUACCGAAGAAUGUUAUCACGGGAGACACACGGCGGGUGCUAACGUCCGUCGUGAAGAGGGAAACAACCCAGACCGCCAGCUAAGGUCCCAAAGUCAUGGUUAAGUGGGAAACGAUGUGGGAAGGCACAGACAGCCAGGAUGUUGGCUUAGAAGCAGCCAUCAUUUAAAGAAAGCGUAAUAGCUCACUGGUCGAGUCGGCCUGCGCGGAAGAUGUAACGGGGCUAAACCAUGCACCGAAGCUGCGGCAGCGACGCUUAUGCGUUGUUGGGUAGGGGAGCGUUCUGUAAGCCUGCGAAGGUGACCUGUGAGGG